UUUUGUUAGGUUCAAACCCAAAGGAUCAAAGACACACCCACGUGAUUGCCUCAACUUUGGAAAAGUCAGCAAUUCCAACUAAAGUUUAAAAAUGUGAGAGGGACGUCUCUGAAACACUGCCAAUUGAAGAUCAAAAACCCAUCUGUGUUCGAGAUUUUGCUCCAAAUCAAUACACCAUCUCCCAAGGAAUUCACGGAUCACGCUUUCUAAGUUAGAACGGGAAACAGGGAACCACUCAGAAAAUACAAAAG
rnacentral:lncRNA from 1 species